CUAGCCGAGAGCCCGAGGCAACGAGUAAAACGGAGUACCGGAGCCCGGAGGAGCGGCCGAUGGCAGACGCGCAGGCGUUCUACGGCGGGAUGCUCAGGACCGACAGCCUCAGGAAGCACAGGGAGUGGGAGGCUUGUAUCAACGCCUUGUUAGCGGACCUGCAGAACACGGUGUCCCCGGACACGAGCCUCAUCGGCGGCGGUGGCGGCACUGGCAGCACACCUGGCUACGGCUCUCUUAACGGGACGCGCGGCCACGGGACGUCCGUCUCCUCUGCGUACAGGCCGACCUACGAGAACCACGUGCCGCGCAGCACGACGCCGCUCCAGUCGCAAUCGGUGAGUCGCGCACAUGGCGAACGCUGCCUUUUUUCCAAGACAAUAAUUGAUCGGGCAACUCAGCUCCGCCGCGGGCGACCUUCGCCGUAGGCCUCGCCCGUGUGUAUUUUUACAGCGCUGCACUCGAAAAUAGCCCCGCGCGAGCUAAUCCCCUCCCCCCCCUCUCUAGCGCAGCAGCGACACGUUUUUUCACAAUCCAUAAAACUGUUUGUUUCCCCUCGCUCGUUAUCAUUAUUCAUUUAAAAUCAACAAAUUGGCCGAUUGGCCAAAAAAGCUCGCUAUCUCCGGCGUCAGUAGUCCGUGAAAACGGGAAAAAAAGACAUCAAGCGGAAUCAGCAUCAGUGGGCAAAUUUUACGGAACCACGUUCGCAGCCUAGGAAAUAAUAUUAUCCAACGUAUCAGAAUCGAGAGGCUAUCGAGGAAGCGAGAACAGGAGGAAUCGGCGCCGCUGGCGCAAGCCAGUACAAUCAAGGUGGAACAGGAGGGAAAAUGCCGUCUCUGAACAACAAUCUUUCGGAAUUGGACACCCUGCUGCAAGAUUUGAGCAACGCCCGUUACAAUUCUCACGCCACCGACAGAGUUCCAGAUAUGCGCUCGACAAACGGUGAAACAACGAGCCCGAUGCUCCGGUCGACGAGCAGCCUCUCCACCGGACGGCCAACCGUCGAUACCUUGCUGGAGGAGUUGAGCACCGGCAUGCCGAAUGGGGACUACCCAGAAGGUCAACGGGUUAAGGUGACGGUCCAGGAGACGACGACAGAGGUACAACCAGGCUCUGGUGAAGUCUACUACCCUCCGAGCCAUCAUGGCUCGCUCAACAGGCGCGACAUCGAACGUAGCUACGCCAUUACCGGCAACGGACAGACCGCCAGCAAUGCCACCAAGGAACUCGACGACCUCAUGGCAUCGCUGUCCGAAUUCAAAAUCAACGGCAGCAACCACCAGCGGCAGACGGUGACGGACUCGGCGUACGCGAAACCGAACAAGGCCACCGUAGUCAAGCAGUACCAGAGCAUCAGCAGCAGCGGAGGAGGAGGAAGCCCGCUGCCACCAGGAGGAGUAAUAGGAGGUGGUGGGAUCGGAGUCGCCGGAGGUGGGGUUCAGGAGCAGAGGGUCCACAUAUCGGAGACCCGGACGAGCCACCACUAUCAGCCGCAGUACGAGAGCCACACGGCGACCGCCCAGUCGGUCACCCACAUCAAGCAGAACCAGUUGGAUUCUAUGCUCGGCAAUCUCCAGGCAGACAUGAGCCGCCAAGGAGUCAACACAACCCAGAAGGGCUGCUGCAGCGCCUGCGAGAAGCCCAUCGUCGGACAGGUAAUCACCGCGCUCGGCAAGACAUGGCACCCGGAGCACUUCACCUGCACCCACUGCAGCCAGGAGCUCGGCACCAGGAACUUCUUCGAGCGCGAGGGACACCCCUACUGCGAGCCCGACUAUCACAAUCUCUUCUCGCCCCGCUGCGCCUACUGCAACGGACCCAUCCUCGACAAAUGCGUGACGGCCCUGGAGAAGACCUGGCACACGGAGCACUUCUUCUGCGCCCAGUGCGGCAACCCCUUCGGGGAGGAGGGCUUCCACGAGAGGGAUGGCAAGCCCUACUGCCGUCAAGACUACUUCGACAUGUUCGCGCCCAAGUGCGGCGGCUGCAAUCGCGCCAUCAUGGAGAACUACAUUUCGGCGCUCAACAGCCAGUGGCAUCCCGACUGCUUCGUCUGCCGGGACUGCAAGAAGCCGGUCUCCGGAAAAUCGUUCUACGCCAUGGAGGGAAAGCCUCUCUGCCCUAAGUGCGUGGGUGUCGACGAGGAAGAGGGAGAGGAGGAGGAGGAGGAGGAGGCGUGAGACCGGAACUGCGCCGAGACGAAAGGCAGAAGAGCAUCAGAUCGAGCGAAUGUUUGUCUGUCUGCGUAUGAUUGUGCGUGUGUGAGCGCGGUCCAGAGAAAAACGAGCGACUCCUUCUUUCUAUGUGAAAAAUUUCUAUACAGCAUUCUUUCCCCCCCCCCCCUCAAACCCCACUUUCUAGCGGAACUGUCACGAGGAUCAUGAAAAGAAGAAACAAUCAGACCCCAAUAUUAUGCCCUCCGGGCUCCAACUGAUGCGGAGCCUCUGUAUCUUUGCCCUCUAUCUGAUCGACGUUGUAGCGUCAACGGUCAAGAGCAACCUCCAACUAUGAUGUCUACAUGAGGCGGGGAACAUGCGCCGAACCCACCCGUUCUUUUAGCUUCCCGAAUCAAACAGCAGCAGAUCUCCCCUUUUUCUCUCCGAACCGACGAGUGGUAUGCGCGCUCGUCAUACCGGUCCUGCGCGAAUGUUUUCCUCUCCAAAAUACAAAAUUAUGUAACAUUGCUCUGCACGAUAAUAAUAAAAGAGAAAAAAAAAGAAAGAAAAAAAAACAACAACAACAAAAACAAAUCAAGUAGGAUAGACAACUGCGCGAUGCUCCUCGCGUCCCUUAGUCGCGCAACCUUGACCUGGUGUGGUCAUGUCGCGCAGCUGAGGCGAAGGAGGAGGACGUCGACGUCGAAAUUCCUUGCGGCCGUGCCGACACACUGUGUGCCGUGCGCAGUGACGUGUCGAAAUCGAAGCGCCGGCUGACGUUGAUGCCGUGCUAAAUUUACACGCGCGGACUGUAUGUGUGUGCGAGUGUGGGUGUCUGAGCGAUGCUCUUUCCUCGUCUUGGUCGUCUUAGGGGCUCUUGUUUCCUCCUUAUCCUCUCCGUUGUUGGAACCGGUGUGAUCGUUUGUCGCACCUGCGCACAUACCGGCUUCUUGUUAUCAAUCAGAUGAAGGACUGCCGGCAAAAGUUUCAAGGCGGCUCGUUCUUCGAUCACGAGGGGCAGCCUUACUGCGAGACCCAUUAUCAUGCCAAGAGGGGAUCGCUUUGCGCCGGUUGUCAUAAGCCCAUUACAGGCCGUUGCAUAACCGCGAUGUUUCGCAAGUUCCACCCCGAGCACUUCGUUUGCGCUUUCUGUCUAAAACAACUGAACAAGGGCACGUUCAAGGAGCAGAAUGACAAGCCCUACUGCCAUGGCUGCUUCGAGAAGCUUUUCGGUUGAACGGCAACAGGUGUCACCAGACUCAAAUGAGGAAGAAAGUUUGUUGGGCCGAAUCUUAUUAUUUGAAUAAUGUUUAUCUUCCAACGAAAGACCCGAUGGUUUUGGCGUAUUUGAAAACGCGAGGACGCCUACAUUUUUUAUGAGUCGAGUUUUUAUUUAAUGCGUGCAUCGCGAAUUUUAGAUGGAAAUCCAAUGGUUUUUUCUCUCGCCUAUACAUAUAUUUCAUGUUCGCAAUGUACUGUAUAGCUCCAGCUCAGACAAGAGCUAUCUAUUAAAACUGAAAAGUAAUGCAAGAAUUUAAUGAGCGUUUUGUUAUAUAUGCUGAAUCCAUCGGCACAUCUUAUCACGGCCACACGAUGAAUUUUAAUAACAAAAAUAAUACCAAUAUAAUAUAAUAUAGUAAAUAUUUUUUACGUAACUAUAUAUGCACACACACACACGCGCGCGCGCGAGACCGACUUCGGAAUCGAUACGUCGUGCGAUAAAAUUUUCUUUGAACUAAACGAAUGAGCACCAUAGCAGACGUAUGGAAUUGAUUGUUACUUAUGCGUAGAAGAGUUACGUACAGUCUAAUGCAAGUAAUACGCAGUGACAGAACGAGACUCUUUCCCUCCAAUUUCGAAAGGAAAUAUUAUAUAUCGUAUGUACAUUAGAAGGUAGAUGAUAGCUGAGUUACAGUCGUUGAAACGAAUUUUGAUACAUGUGUAAGGUGAAUUAAGUACUUUCAUCACUGCCGCAAUAUAGUGUCUUGUGGCAUGUAUGAGUUUAGAGAUGAAUUUAAUUUACAAAUUUCGGUCUACAUUUUUGCGAUGCAUUUACUGCGUUGAGUAUUACGUUCAGUCGUAGAAUGAGGGGUGAUGACAAUGAUCGAAAGUAAAAUAUGCUGUUCGUUCAUAUUUAUAGUUUGUAGAAUAAUGUAAUAAAAAGGGUGCUAACCAAAGUCUUUUCAACUAAUAUUAGUUUAUAAUUGUAUAGAUAAUCUUAUUAUAUCGCGGGCCUGAACGCUUGCAGUUUGAUCAGUCAUUUUUCUUAGUGCCAAGAUAUUUGAUUUUUUCGUUAUGAGAAAUUACGCAAUAACAAUAUCAUGCAACUUAAUUUCUUAUAUAAUUUGUUUCGUGUACAAAUGAUAUACAUUUAAUGGAUACAUGUACAGAUGAAAUUAUUGGCGCAUUUCGACUUAAUUACUGUACUAAUUAAUGGCAGUUAUUAAAAAUGAAAAGGCCUGUGAAGAUAAUGAAUGUAAACAAUAAAUUUAUUUUAACUUCCUUAA